GUAGUUUGGAGGACACAGGACAACCAUAGACAGUUUGCAAAGGCACAUCCUCAACAUGGCAGAAGAGUGGAGUAAUCCUUUUUUCACAGCAAAAGGACAACUAGGGAGUCUGCCUCUGCAUACACCAUCAGCAACAACACUAGAGGUUACCGCUGAUUGGGGAACUAGGCAUAAGGCCUGUUAUACAGACAUGGUAAG